rnacentral:rRNA from 1 species
GACGAACCGUGCGAACGUUGUUCGGAAUCACUGGGCUUAAAGGGCGCGUAGGCGGUCUUCUAAGUCUUGUGUGAAAUCCCUCGGCUCAACUGAGGAACUGCACGGGAUACUGGAAGACUUGAGUUCGGGAGAGGGAAGCGGAAUUCCGGGUGUAGCGGUGAAAUGCGUAGAUAUCCGGAGGAACACCGGUGGCGAAGGCGGCUUCCUGGACCGAUUACUGACGCUGAGGCGCGAAAGCUAGGGGAGCAAACGGG